AAUGAACGCUGGCGGCGUGCUUAACACAUGCAAGUUGGACGAGAAAGGCUGAUUUCGGUUGGCCGAGUAAAGUAGCGCACGGGUGAGUAACGCGUAGGCAACCUACCCUUGUAUUGGGGAUAACCCCGCGAAAGCGGGGCUAAUACCGGAUACGAUCCCGGGAUGGUGGUUUCGGGAUGAAAGUCAGCCACUCGGAGAAGCUGACGUACGAGGAUGGGCCUGCGUCCUAUCAGCUAGUUGGUGGGGUAGCGGCCCACCAAGGCGACGACGGGUAGCUGGUCUGAGAGGAUGAUAAGCCACACUGGCACUGGAAUACGGGCCAGACUCCUACGGGAGGCAGCAGUGAGGAAUUUUGCGCAAUGGCCGCAAGGCUGACGCAGCAACGCCGCGUGGGUGAUGAAGGCCUUCGGGUCGUAAAGCCCUGUCAGGUGGGAAGAAAGGCUUGAUUGGGAAUACCGGUUGAGUUUGACGGUACCACCAGAGGAAGCACCGGCUAACUCCGUGCCAGCCGCCGCAGUAAAAC
rnacentral:rRNA from 1 species